UGGCCAAUGCGACAUCGUUUUUUGUUGGUUACCCAGCCACUUUGGCAUUUCUGAGAACACAUUGGCCGAUCUUGCGGCCAAGGCAGCACUAAAUAAAUCUGUGACACC